rnacentral:rRNA from 1 species
GAUGAACGCUGGCGGCGGGCCUAAUACAUGCAAGUCGAGCGAACAGACGAGGGGCUUGCUCCUCUGAGGGUAGCGGCGGACGGGUGAGGAACACGUGGAUAACCUACCUAUAAGACUGGGAUAACAACGGGAAACCGGAGCUAAUACCGGAAAAUAUAUUGAACCGCAUGGUUCAAUAGUGAAAGACGGUUUUGCUGUCACUUAUAGAUGGAUCCGCGCCGCAUUAGCUAGUUGGUAAGGUAACGGCUUACCAAGGCAACGAUGCGUAGCCGACCUGAGAGGGUGAUCGGACACACUGGAACUGAGACACGGUCCAGACUCCUACGGGGGGCCGCAGUAGGGAAUCUUACGCAAUGGGGGAAAGCCUGACGGAGCAACGCCGCGUGAGUGAUGAAGGUCUUAGGAUCGUAAAACUCUGUUAUUCGGGAAGAACAAAUGUGUAAGUAACUAUGCACGUCUUGACGGUACCUACACAGAAAGCCCCGGCUAACUCCGUG